CUGGAGGUAUCAGAAGUGCGAAUGCUGACAUAAGUAACGAUAAAGCGGGUGAAAAGCCCGCUCGCCGGAAGACCAAGGGUUCCUGUCCAACGUUAAUCGGGGCAGGGUGAGUCGACCCCUAAGGCGAGGCCGAAAGGCGUAGUCGAUGGGAAACAGGUUAAUAUUCCUGUACUUGGUGUUACUGCGAAGGGGGGACGGAGAAGGCUAUGUUGGCCGGGCGACGGUUGUCCCGGUUUAAGCGUGUAGGCUGGUUUUCCAGGCAAAUCCGGAAAAUCAAGGCUGAGGCGUGAUGACGAGGCACUACGGUGCUGAAGCAACAAAUGCCCUGCUUCCAGGAAAAGCCUCUAAGCAUCAGGUAACAUCAAAUCGUACCCCAAACCGACACAGGUGGUCAGGUAGAGAAUACCAAGGCGCUUGAGAGAACUCGGGUGAAGGAACUAGGCAAAAUGGUGCCGUAACUUCGGGAGAAGGCACGCUGAUAUGUAGGUGAAGUCCCUCGCGGAUGGAGCUGAAAUCAGUCGAAGAUACCAGCUGGCUGCAACUGUUUAUUAAAAACACAGCACUGUGCAAACACGAAAGUGGACGUAUACGGUGUGACGCCUGCCCGGUGCCGGAAGGUUAAUUGAUGGGGUCAGCGCA
rnacentral:rRNA from 1 species